AUUGGGCCCCUUCAAAAUUACUAGGAGCGUUUAGGGUGAGCGACCAUGGACCUGAAUUCAAUAGCAAUUUCUCUUGAUGAUUGAAUGCCGUCUUUAAGCUCGAAGAGGGUAUACAAAAGAAAGGAGCAGCAUUGUGGUUAUUGGGCUUAGCGUGCACACAACUCCUAUGGAGAUGCGUGAGAAACUUGCCAAUUCUGAGGCAGAAUGGCCUUGAGCCAUUGGAGAACUCUGUAGUUUGAAUCAUAUAGAAGAAGCGGUUGUAACAUAAUGGAGAUAUAUGUUGUCGCUUUGUCUCAGCAUCGUGGGGUUAAAGAAGUGACUGAAUGGAUGUCUAAUGUGAUUUACUUUUGCUCCUUGUCAUGACUAUAAUUUGGAUUCUUGCAAUAAUUAAUUGCCCUAUGAUACUUGUUUUA